AGGUCAAAUCAUCAUGCCCCUUAUGUCUUGGGCUACUCACGUGCUACAAUGGCUGCAACAGAGUGACGCGAGCCUGUGAAGGUAAGCCAAGCACAAAAAGCAGUCUCAGUUCGGAUUGUAGUCUGCAACCCGACUGCAUGAAGUUGGAAUCGCUAGUAAUCGCGAAUCAGCACGUCGCGGUGAAUACGUUCCCGGGCCUU
rnacentral:rRNA from 1 species